AGGACGAACGCUGGCGGCGUGCCUAACACAUGCAAGUCGAGCGGGGACAUUGCGACGGAGGCGAAGUACUCGUACGGAGUCAAAGAUGUAAUGUCUAGCGGCGGACGGGUGAGUAACGCGUGAGCAACCUGUCCCUUACAGGGGGAUAACACAGCGAAAGUUGUACUAAUACCGCAUAAGACCACAGAGUGACAUCGCUCAGGGGUCAAAGGAGCAAUCCGGUAAGGGGUGGGCUCGCGUCCGAUUAGAUAGUUGGUGAGGUAACGGCCCACCAAGUCGACGAUCGGUAGCCGACCUGAGAGGGUGAUCGGCCACAUUGGGACUGAGACACGGCCCAAACUCCUACGGGAGGCAGCAGUGGGGAAUAUUGGGCAAUGGGGGGAAACCCUGACCCAGCAACGCCGCGUGAGGGAAGAAGGUUUUCGGAUCGUAAACCUCUGUCCCAGGUGAAGAGGAAGAGACGGUAGCCUGGGAGGAAGCCCCGGCUAACUACGUGCCAGCCGCCGC
rnacentral:rRNA from 1 species